GUGUGAUAUUGUAUAUAUAUAGCUGGCUACGAGAUGUCUGGGACUUUCCUAGGUCCCAGAGAUUGAGGAUUUCUGGCCCCUGGUAUCAGCGCUCCAACCCGCAUCGCUGGAUAUGGUAAAGCUAUACGGGGACUGUGGCCGAGGAGAUUGAGCACAUUCUUAUCAGCGCUCGAUGGAGUAUCCUACAAAAUUGCAGGGUUUACUUGAGUGCCGAGCUCUGUGGCACUGACCUUAGGCUGGUAGUGGCUACCCUGCGGGUCCACUUCAAAACUCCUCGUCCAUCCAAUUGCUACUCUAGGGUGUUUCACUUGGACAAACUGUGGGAGGAAGAGUGUGUCUGUGGGUUCACCAAUGCAGUCUCUGGUCGAUUCAGACGGACUCAAUUCCUCUGUGGGAGUCCUUCAAGCGGUGCAGGGGGCCGGAUAUUCAAAACAACCCGUUAGUUACAAGGUCGAGGACGUUGUAACCGCCUUACCACAUUGUACCUUACGAACUCCUUACUAUAUUAUAAGUGACCCAUACUCAAAAAAAAAUUUACAAUGUUGUAAGCACAUUGUAAGGCUAAUGUCAACAUCGUAAGUUAAUUCCCUAGGCUGCCAAGAGAGGGCACAUCGGUAGCUGAUUGACCAAUCAGCAGUAAGCCUCGUAAACGUAACAGCCAAUGAGAAGCCAAAGGUAAACAACGCCAUGGAAGGUCCAACUCAAAAGAAAAGAAGACCAAAUUUCUCAGACGAAGAGAUGUUGGCUUUAAUAGAAGCUGUGGCAACGAAGAAGAAUGUGGUUCUGGGUAAAUUAGAUAACAGAAUAACCGCACAAGUGGAAAAGAACGCCUAGGAGAGUGUGACUAAGGAAGUGAGUCUUGUCGCUCGCGUAACGAGGAAUGUGAAUGUAGGGCGUAGGAAGUUCACAGACCUAAGAGCAGCUUGAAAAAAAAGGCAGCACAAGAGGAAAAACACGUGGGAGGAAAGGUGGUGGCCCAGCAGUUCUCACAAACUACACUCCUCUUGAAGAAACUAUUGUGACACUGACUGAGCCUGUUGAUAUUACUGGUUUACUAGGGGUUUAUGAAAAUGAGACAGAAGUUGAUGAUGUUGCAGAACCAACUCCUGGGCCAUCUGGGAUAGCAUCUCAGGUCAUAACAGACUCGAACGUCGUUGUAACAUUGGAUGAGGGCACUCCAGAGGAGCAAGAAAUGACAAUACCCAUUGUGUCAAUGGACCACACUUACUCCUCAGAAUUACCUCCUUUUUUAAUAGAAGACACUGACGCUCAGGAUGGAGGUAGCAGACAUGAGGUAGUGCAUGGUCAUAGCAGAAGAUCAGAAGAAAGGAGAAUUUUGCCUGACAUGCUUCAGAUACAAGCAAAUAUAAAAAUUCCCUUGAAACAGCUUGUAAGCUCAGUAAAAGACAUUGCAUCAGCAUUACAAACAAUUGCUGGUGUUAUAAAAGAUAAGGCAUAAGUUCUUAUUUUUAUCAAAUGUUGAAAUAUUUUAGUUUUUCUCCCAUUCAAUUCUAGUCUUAAUCUACCCAUUUAUAGUACACAGUUGACAUUAAUUUGUGAUAGGCAUUUGUGCAUUUAACAAAGUCAUAAUGUUAAGUUAUUGCUUAAGAGACUAAGUCUAAAAUAAGUCUUUAUUUCGGAGUUCCUUUAUUUCUUCAGUACAGACUAAGGCAAAAAUCCAUUAUAUAUUAUUUAUUUUUUGUUCGCAUUAAUGUUUGCACUGAGGUUGUGAAAAUUGUAUUUUGGUUUUUAUGAUAUAGGUUAAGAUCAUUUUAUCCAGUUUGGAAGAAUCAUAUUUUUAUAGGGGGGAAUUCAGGAUUUUAUUAUUUUUUUUAGGAAAAAAAUGAUUUUCAUUUUUUUCAAAAUUCUGACAGGUGCACUGUUUGGUUUCUGCAUAGGAUAUAUAUUUUCCUUUUAGGUUAAGAAAGUAACAAAUUUUUGUUGUUUACACAUGGCAAUAAUAAAGUAUAUGAUAGUUCUGGUGCUGUCAAUUAAGAUUGAUUUUAUUUGUUGAUACGAAGACAGAGCUGUAUGUAAGUUUAAUUUAUUUUUCUGGUUUUGAUGUUGUAGGCUGAGGAAGAAAGCAAAUAUAUACUUAUUGCUAUUCUAAUAUUUAUUGUUAACAUAGUAAUUAAGCUUUGAGGGAUAGCUUUACUCGUAUUUUAAAAAUGUUAUAUUUCUUUAUUUGUAUAUUUAUAUGCCUGAAAUUACUUGCUUCCAAAGAUUUUUGUUUAUUUCACUUCUAAGGCAACCCAACUUUGGUUGUGGUCUGUCUUGUGGUCAUAAAGCACCAUGACAAAAAUAUGUAACUUACAUUUUGUACUUUAAGCAGUAUUGCUUUGUAUGUAUGUGUAGAUACUUUCAUAUUAUUUUUGUGAUGUAUCAUUAUGGUAUUUUUCUUACCAGUCUUAUAGUUUU
rnacentral:misc_RNA from 1 species